rnacentral:lncRNA from 1 species
AUGAGAAGUGGUGAAGCAGAUGAAGAGGAAUGGGGCAUAACGUGUGUCCCAAGAAGAGGCAACACCGUGUUUGGAAGCUCAGAAGUCAAGGAGAAUGCGGUGCAUUCAAGAAACCAGCUGGUUCUCACACAACACAAUGCUGAAGUGCAAGCUUUGACUUUAAGGGACUUCUUUGGCUGAGAGAGGAAAUGAAAAGAUGUAACAUCGAAGAGAGCGGAGUAUUCUACGGAAGCAGGUGUGAGGCACUACCCAAGCAAAGACAAGAAUGAGGAGCCAGAGAAUUGAGAAGGAAGGCUGGAAUGGUGAGUGUUUUUAAGAGGAGGAUCGAAGAAGUUAGAGCAGCUGUCUUGGGGAAAAGGAAAGGAAAGGUUGGUGUUUGCUAAGGAAGAUGUUUAUGAUGAUUUGCUCUGUAUCGUGCAAUUAAAUUCAAUUUUUUGCUGCCUCUUCAAGAGACCCAGAGGUAAGAUCUACAUAACUCUUCAUUUGUCUUUGGAGCAGAAUUGCCUUCCUUCCUUAUAGACAUGACAACAUGAGAUACCUGCACAUGACAUGGUCCCGUUUUUUUUAGGUUCGAUUUAAAAGCUAGGGAGAGCUACGUCAAUUGCAGGCAUCACUCAUAAUGUUAUUUGAAAACAGAAAAACAGACCCUUUCUUAUGUAUCAGCUUCUCCUCAUAGAUUUUCUUUAAUAUUUUGAACAAUUCCUCGGAUAUAGAUUUUCCCCCCAUCUAACAUUAUGCCUUUGAAAAGCUGGGCAAUCUUAUGUUGAGACGCUGCAGGUCUGCUUUUAGGA